CCCUUAGAUGUUCUGGGCCGCACGCGCGCUACACUGACGAAUGCAACGAGCUUAUAACCUUGGCCGAAAGGUCUGGGUAAUCUCCAAAUUUCGUCGUGAUGGGGAUAGAUUAUUGCAAUUAUUAAUCUUCAACGAGGAAUGCCUAGUAAGCGCAAGUCAUCAGCUUGCGUUGAUUACGUCCCUGCCCUUUGUACACACCGCCCGUCGCUCCUACCGAUUGAAUGGUCCGGUGAAGCGUUCGGACCGUGGCCUUUGGACGGUUCGCCGUCUGUUGGCUGCGGGAAGUUCGUUAAACCUUAUCAUUUAGAGGAAGGAGAGGUCGUAACA
rnacentral:rRNA from 1 species